rfam:Algoriphagus marincola HL-49 ITZ_scaf_447, whole genome shotgun sequence.
UGUGCAAGUCGGUCUGUCGCCGAUCUGUCCCGAUUGAUAUCGGAAUCAGAAAGGAGGAAAGUCCGGGCAACAUAGAGCGCCAUACUUCCUAACGGGAAGGGGGCUGAUUGGUGACGGUCAGUCUACAGAAAGUGCCGCAGAAAAUAUACCGCCCCAACCAUUAUUGGAAUGGGGUAAGGGUGAAAAGGUGGGGUAAGAGCCCACCGUCCCGAUGGUGACAUCGGGUGCAAGGCAAACCUUAUGGGUUGAAAGAUCAAAUAGGCCCCGGGCAAAGAGCUGCUCGUUCGAUCUCUGCUUAGGCAGGGUUCCGGGGUGGGUAGAUCGAUGGACCCUGAUCGUGAGGUCAGGGCUAGAUAAAUGGCAGACACUUUUGAAAAGGAUGAAUUCCAAAUCAAGAGUACAGAACCCGGCUUACAGACUUGCACAUUUU